rnacentral:rRNA from 1 species
UGGGGAAUUUUGGACAAUGGGGGAAACCCUGAUCCAGCCAUCCCGCGUGUGCGAUGAAGGCCUUCGGGUUGUAAAGCACUUUUGGCAGGAAAGAAACGUCCUGGGUUAAUACCCCGUGAACCUGACGGUACCUGCAGAAUAAGCCCCGCCUAACUACGUGCCAGCAGCCGCGGUAAUCCGUAGGGUGCAAGCGUUAAUCGGAAUUACUGGGCGUAAAGCGUGCGCAGGCGGUUCGGAAAGAAAGAUGUGAAAUCCCAGAGCUCAACUUUGGAACUGCAUUUUUAACUACCGGGCUAGAGUGUGUCAGAGGGAGGUGGAAUUCCGCGUGUAGCAGUGAAAUGCGUAGAUAUGCGGAGGAACACCGAUGGCGAAGGCAGCCUCCUGGGAUAACACUGACGCUCAUGCACGAAAGCGUGGGGAGCAAACAGG